rnacentral:lncRNA from 13 species
CAGGGGCAGCCGUGGGUGGGGAGGUGGCUGCGCCUGGGCCGUCCCGUCCCGUCCCGGAGCUGCCCCGUGGUGGCGGCCGGCCCUGAGGUGAAGUAGUCUCCGGCGUGUGGCGCAGUGCCCGGGCGCCCUGUGAGGGGGUCAGCGGGGUCCCCGGGCGCUGCCCGCCCUUCUCUCCGGCGGGACUUGGUGCCCGAACGGGCGGCCCGCGACUGGGCUGGGGCUGCGCCUCAGGCGGGUGAGGGAAGGCUGCCCCGGGCCGUGGCCCUUCAGCAGCGCCCGUGUCGACCUUUCACGUGGAGGGGAUCCGGGAGAGCCGCGCUGCCCGCAGCUCACUGCUCCACGGUGUGUCCAUUGCCCUCGUGCUGUGUAUGUCCAGCGCGGCACAUCACAGCAGAAAUUAAACACCCCAGAGAGAGAAUUGGACCCACAAGUGUGUGACCCGGCGGUGCGCGGGCCAUGAGGAUGAGAGUGGACUCCCGAAGCGCCUUCAGCCUAGUGCAGGUGCAGCCCCCGAGUCCUGCUUGGCCCUGGGCUGGAUGGGUGUACUCCGAGGGGCUUUGCCUCCUCCCAGCAGGGUUCAUGCUGGCUAUGAAAGGGAGGGAAAUGAAGGCUGCUCUUCUGAAAUCCACUGUGAUGGACAGUUGGAGCUGGAAGGGACCUCUGCGGGUUUUCUGGAGCAGCACACUCCUGUGAGCACAGCUGCCAGUCUGUGCUGCUGCAGAGGAUGGCAGGCAGCUGCUGCACUGCUCUGCUCUGCUGCGGGCCACACAUGGGUGGGGACAGACAGGUUAUGUGACAUGCUCAAGAUCACACGAGCAGUCUGUGUCAGAGUGGGAAACUGCACCUGGAUCUCUCACUUGUGAGGCUGUUGUUCUUAGGACUUUGUCCUUCUGACUUCAAGCAAAGAUUGACUUUGUCUGUGUCCUUUCUAUGCCUACAAAUGCCGCUGUGGGGCCAGGAGCUCAGGCCUCUUGCCUCCCGAGUUAUUGUCCUCAUGCACAGAACUCUCCAAGUCCGCAUGUCAGACUCUACAUGAGGCCUCAGAAUAGAAGCCACAGUGGCAAAGGGAGGAGCCACAGCAGCCUGAUGGGGAGAUGGGUGACAUCACACUGGAGUGGCCAACCUUGCUUCAGUAGCUGGAAGGGGGCAUGUCCAGGACUCAGAGGUUAUUCUACACUACCUCACAUCACUGCAAGGGGUGGAAGAGGGAGUCUCUUCCAGGAAGAAGGGAUUCCUUGCAGUCGAGCAAGCAAGUCAAGGCAGAUGGAGCAGGAGGGUAACACUCGUCGUGAGCCAGAGAGAGUGAGUUGGAUGAUGCUGGACCCAAGGGAGACGGAGCAGUUGGGGGGAGGUGGCUGUGUUCAGUUAUUGUGUGUUGUUGGGGCUUUCCGUAGUGAGCAAUAAUGUUUCUUUUCUUGUACCCUCUGUCAGCAAUGUUGUUUCUGUUACUGCUUGUUUUCUUAUCUCAUUGUUGUUUCCAGUAAAUUGUUCUUAUCUCAACCUGUGAUCUUUACUUUUUGUGCCUCCAAGUCUCUUCUCCAUCCCACCACAGGGGAGAGGGGGAAAGGGGAGGAGCAAGCAAGCAGCAGUGUGGUUUGGAGUCUCAGUGUGAGCACUAAACUGGGGAGUGCCAUUCCUGAACAACAACAUCUGGUAAAGAAAAUUUGACUGAUGCCGUUUUUGAAACAAGACCGUUCUGUUUAGGCAGAAAUGGCAUUUAUAAUAAAUACAGUACUGGUGGAAGAAAGACAAAUCUAUUGUCUGAGAAGAACAAGCUAUUUAAAUUCCACAGUGAUGGAAAAAUUGAAGGGAAAGAGAUGGCUGAGCGGCUUUGUGAGUCGCACAAUGCCUCGAGUGCUGCAAUGAGAGCAGAAAAUAAUAGUGAUCUGCUUUAGAGAUUGUGUCUGUUUCAAACACUCAUCAUUUCAAACAAUGAUGACAACUCUUCCAGUCUCAUUUUAGUACUGUUGCUGUUAUGGAAACUUUCUCUGUCCUCAUCAGCUCGAUUAUGUGUCUUUACAACACUAAUGAAUCACAGCUGACACUUCAGGGACUCAGCCUCUUUUGAAGGUAUUUGCUUCCUUCGUAAGCUCUUUGGUCAAGUUUAAAAACUUAUUUUCAGAGGCUGGGUGAACUGUAUGAAGAGAUUUUGAGGAUUCAUUGAGAAACAAGUGAAAACAGCAAUGACUGUUUAUGUAUUGGUACUUCUACCACUGAUACCUUUUUAAACUAUGCCUUUAAAUUUUUGAGAGGCAGUCAGAUGUAGACA